UUUAAACCAUCAGCACAGCUCAGUAGGAGAGUUAAAAUCCAUUAGCACAAUAUAAAUAUACCAGUGCUAACAGCCUCCUAUCUUUCCCAUCAGUAGAGAAGAUAUCAGAUCUACUGUUAAAGGCAAAUUGGGGUUAUUGAGGAAAAUUAAGCUCCUGCCCUGAAACAGGACUUAAAUACCAAAGGAAAUAAAUUUAGAGCUCAAAGAGGAGACAGAGAGGGGCGACUUGAACAUGAGCUAAACAUCCCAGAAAUGGUCACCUGAAACUGUGCUGCAGGGUGUAUUUUGUUCUGGCAAGGUUUACCAUGACAGCACUAAGUCAGUAGGUGCCAAGUGUUCUCCCUUAAAACUCAUGCAUGGAAAGCUUCUAUUUCCUUGGGUGUUACAAGCUGAUCCCAACCAAGUCUUCCUCACAAAUCAAAGGGUAGAGCAGAGGAUACAAAGUUCCAUUGAAGGACAGCAAGGGCUACAGUCCUGACUUCACACAUUUGAAGUGUUCCCUCAGAGCUCCUGAAAAGCAGUGAAUCAAACACACUUUAGAAUCUGCCCCUCUCGAACCAUGUAAGAGAUCUUUCAGGAAUCCAACUACAAAUCACCCAAUCAUCUUGCUUCAAAGUCAAGACUCUUCAAAACAGCCAGCAGAAACAGGACAAUAGAUCUGUUUUGAAGACAGAAAACAAGAAUCACUGUUCAUGCACUUUUUUUGCAGUCUCCCAGCUGCCAGACCCAUUCAUAUGAACAACGUUUGAAGUAAACUACCAGCCCCAGAUCAAGUACACUGAAUGUCAAAAGUGACUGGCUGAGGCAGACAAGUAAUGCUUGGUGCCUGAACCCCAGAGUCGCAACAGGGUUUAAAAGAGACGAACUGGAAUGGUGGUGGAUGAAAAAAACAUGAGCUUUCCUUCCUGAAGCCAUCAAAUGUCUCUGGAACCCUUGGAAUCAAUAUUUCUUCAUAUACGUGUGCAGAUGGACAAGUGAAACCCAUCCUCAGCAAAUGAAAGUCCUCAUAGGAAAUGUGUAUGAUGUUCUCUUCUGGGCUAGCCAGGCCUUGGUACCCCUGCAGUUAAUUUACAAGAACUCCAAGAGCUCUACAGGAUAUUUUUGUGGAUUAAGAAAGUCAAAAUUAAUACAGGACCAUAGAAAUUGAUCCAAAAGAAGUGCAGUUUGGGAGGAAAAUACCCUGAAUUUAUUAGCCACUGGUCAAGGAAGCUUUUUUACAGGUUUACAAUCACUUCCUGUGAGACUGAACAGCAAGGCCAGACUUUCCUGAUGUAGGGCAAAACUUAAAUUUCAACCUGUGUCCUUCCAAGAGAAAUGAGGCUACUCUGAAGAGUCAGGUCUUGUGCCUUGGGGUAGUAGCCCUGGACAGGAAUCCUGCCCAAGUAUGUCAGACAUUAGAACAAGAAAUUACAAGCACUUUGUCUUCCGAGUGACUUAUUAUGCUCAAUGAAAAAAGUGAAACACUCAUGUUCUCUGUCCCAGACACUCUAGUUCAGCAUGUUUUAUUGAAAUGCUACAGUGUUUUCUUUCUGUGAUUUAUAACCUUACAUAUUCCCACAUGCACUGAAAGACACUCAAAACACACGAGCAGUCUCCUGGUUAAUAAAAACCAGAUUCCGUUUCAGCCAAUGUAUUACCUGAGCCAUCUCCAGCUGAAGAACAACAGCAAGAUCAUGGUAAGAGCCAAAAGGUGACCCCUGUAACCUGAGGAUUAGGUGACCAUCUCACCAGUCUUCUCAGAGCUCACCAAAACCUUGCAACAGGCUGCCACAGCUUAGACUCAAUUAGAGAAGUAUCACUGAAGCUUUGAUUUAAACUCAUAUUAUGAUCCAAGAUUAGACCACCAGAUAAACAUUAAACCAAUGAAUAACCUUUCCUUGCGUAGCUCACAAGUGCAAAACCAAAUAUCAACCAAAAAAAUAAAUAGCAAGAACUAGUGGGAGAGUGUCUAUAUGAAUCAAAACAAAACAUGACGAGUUAUAAGAGCAAAAUAAUAAUACCUUAAUUGCUAUUUGCUCUAAGGGUUGUUAAAGGCUCAAAAUAUCUUUUAACCAAAAGAAAAAUCUACCCAAAAAAGGGCAUGCUAUGAAUAUUACUCUGCUCUUUACAACUGCAAAUAAAGAAAGAACAUGAGGGAUAAAGAAAUAAGAAAUAUCAUUAAAAUAGAAAUGUAAGGCCUCUUUCUCUUUCAGAAUUGUAUUAUUUCAGAUUACUUACAGUGUCUUCCCUGACAGAGAACAUUUUUUUAGAGGACCACAACAUGGUACAACUCUGAGCUUAAGGUUAACAGGUUAAGUGUCUUCUAGUGAAAAGAUCCUUAAAAAACAAUAGAGACUUAACUACUUACUCACUUUGCUAGUAAGUAAAAUGAGUUGCCAUUAGAUUAUUAUUGAGCAUAUUAUAGAAGGGUUUCUCUAAGUUUGUGUCACAGAAUAUUUAAAGAAAAUGAGAAGUUUCCAAGGAAAUGCUCUUGGGCCUGUUCAGAGCCCACACCAAAAUGAGCUCAUACUCGACUCUGCCCUGCCCUGGGCACAACCUCCUGAGUUAAUCAUCUCCACCAGAGAAAGGGGCCCUGCAAAUGCACCACUGUGGGCUGAGACAUGAGCACGGAGGGACACAGACCAUGUCCAAGGCCCAACACACACCUCAGCCAGAUCCUGCAGGGAAUUACAAUAAAGGAAUUCCUGCCAGAGGUUCUUGCUGUUGCCUUUGUUUGUGGUUGAAGUUUUUUAGUUAUUUUUUUAUCCUUGCCUCCCUCCCCCCUUUCUGAUAAACAUCCAGACAAAGCAACCACCUCAUCUAAUUGCCCAGGCAUUUCUAUUGCUUCAUCUCUGCAUGAUCUCAGCGCCUUCAACUUAAACUUCAUUCUCACAGUUCCCAAAUUGCAAAGGAGAAUCAUGAUGCUACCCCACAGCUGAAAAACACAGACUAAAGAGUUGAAUUAUUUGCCUGUGGUCAAAGAUCAUGGCUGUGAAAGAGAUGAUAAUUCAACACUGGACCACAGGGACCUCCUUCACUAUCACUACCAGCUUCUCCUGGGUAAGUCAGCGAGGUGCUGAACAUCUUCUGAGACUCAGUGAGAGGGAUGGCUUUCAAGAUAGACUCCAAAUGUACUAAACUCAGAGGAAACAUUUAUUUAGUUCAUUUUUCAGAUAGGAAAAAGGUAUUUCCACUUACUUUUCCAUGAGAAAAGAUUAGCUGAAAUUUUGUAUGUAACAUAGAAAACUCAUCCCUAUGAUUUCCUUCAGUCAUACAAAUGCCAUUUCACACACAUUCAACGAAAGAAACUUCAGUGAGCCUGGGUUGCUUUUUUGUCUUUAAAUUAAAACAGCAGACAUGGACAUAUACAAAUUUCAUCUUACUGCAUACAGGUUUAUGUUCAGAAAUCAAGGUAUCCAGAGGAUUGAUGGUGAAAGCCAAAAAUGAGGAUUGUUUAUGAUUUAAAAGCCUUCCAGCAGCUCAGCACCACGGGGCACAUUUCAAAGCUAACUGUACACAAAUUUCCUAGUUAAGUUCAGCUCACAGCCCUUUCUACUGAAGUCAGCUGGACCUUCAAACAAGGAGGAGAUGUAACAGGGAUGCGACUUGAGAGCCCACCAGUGACACCCAUCUGAGGAGGGCGGCACGGAGUGGAUCACAUCCUCAGUGGCUGUUCUCUGCUCCCGACUUAGGAACAGCACCUAGAAUGAAACAAUAACCAAGAGCCAGGAAAUACAUGGUUUGAGAACCGUCCUGCCCAUCUCCCAGUGGCUUCACUGAAGAUUUAAAAUACCUUUCCCCAGGAUGUUCAGAGGGCAGAACUCCCAAGGAUUUCUCUGGCUGUGUUGCUACUCCCACAUGGUUCACAAGAACACAACACAGUCACACUUCAGCACUGUCCUACACACUGUGGAUCACCCAUAUUUAUUGUCCCUGCACAAACCUGACCAAACCAUUUUGGUUCAGUGGCAGACAUAGAUGCUCUCCAUUAUACCAGUUUCAGAAGGUGGUAAAUUCAUGGGUGUCAGCACAAUUGCAGCUGUUUAACAUUCAUGUAUAGAAUAACACAAUAAGCCUUAUAAAGUCCACGCUGCAUUGCAGGGUCACUUCUCCCCCAACACUAUCAUAUAUUAUAUUAUAGUAAACUUUAACUGAGAUUUUUUUAUUUACACUAAGUCACACAGAGAAAAUCAUAUUUCAUUUAUAGAUACUCUAAGAGUGUGAAUUUUUAUCCCUGAUUCCCAGGAUUUGUACCAGCCACACAGUGGAUAAAUUUGGCCUCUCUUGCUUGACAGUGAGGUAAAUUGCACUAACUCUAGUAAGUUGCACAGUUUGUCCUAAUCUAUGUUUUAUUCCUUCACAUACACCUCAAUUUGAGGGGAAAAGAAAUAGAUAUCAGAUGUGACAAGUGUAUGUUUUUUUUCCCCUGAUAUCUGACUGUUCAUUUUGCCUUAGAAGGGCUGGAGCACCUUUCAAAAGUUUUAGCCCUCUGUUUCUGAGGAACUUAUCCUUGUGGCAUGUCUGUCAGUUUUCACAGUGCUCAAGCAAGUCUUUGCAAUUUUCACAUAAUGGCAGUUGUUGACAGGUUGUUAGGGCUGACAGUGAAUAUGUUUGAAAAACUGUCAAGCUGGUGAAAAAAAAAUUAGAGGAGAGAGAAGGAGCCUCCUUACAUUUGUAACAGCAUGUUAAACUGUAAAUGCAGUCUCAAAAUGCAUAGGUCUACUUCCAGUCGUGUUACUCGCUCGACAAUGACAGCAUAUGUGAAUAUAUGAUCCUUAAAAAUUAAUGUCAGAUUGUCAUUUUAUAGGUCAUGGUCACAUUACUACAAAACUGUUUACCUUUAUAGAAUUGAUUUUACCUUUAAUGCUCGAUAAUGGUUGUUUUAAGCAAAGAAAUUGCUAGAAAUAAGGUGCCAGUGCUAGUGGCUUUUAAUUAGCUUUAUAGUGCUUUUGCCAGAGGUAUUACUGGCCCGAGAGCCCCCGGCAAUGUGCAGAAGCUGGCUCCUGUCCAAGGGCCUUUUCCAGCACUGUACAGAGGGCUGUGGAAGGUCUCCCAAAGCUCCUCAGAGAGGUGAGUGACCAGUAGCACCUGUGGCUGAGGCCCAGCCUUGAACCCUCUUCCACAGACACCAGCGUCAUGUCUGUGCAAAGUCUCUGGACCUAAAAUUGUGACAGCCUUCAGAAAUGAACCUCUGUGGAUGGAUCUUUAUUUAUACUGCCUGCCAGUGAACUCCAAAAUGGUCCCUUGAACAAAGCAGGCUAAGAAGUAGAGAAGCACCAUGAAUCUGACAUCAUAGAAAUUACUUUUCCUCAUUAUUUUAAGACAGAUUGAGCUCAUUUGGGUGAUGCUGAAAUGCAUAGUUAGUAACUGAUAUUAAUGAGGAAACUUUUCUCUUACAUGUCAGACAGACUGAUUCUUCUUUGAUAAAGAAGUUAUAUAAUUCAAUUUAUUUCUGGGAAGAAUGAAUUCACCUAUCUCUCCUUCACAUAAGGGAUUUCUUAAAAUAAUUUUAGUUCAGAUUUUAAAUACUUUUUCUUAGAGUCUUUUUAUAGCACUGCUUUGCUUAUCAUGUCAAGGGUAACAAUAUGAGUCCUGAGCACCUACAGUGUGAGACAGGCCUGCUUUGUCUAAUAUUGGAAAAGACUAAAAUAACUGAGAAGAAUAAAGGGCAAGCUAGCAUAAUCACAGCCAUGAAAUUAUUAUAACUAUGGUAAAGUACUAGGGACUGUUUUCACAGCACAAAACUGGUCUGAAAAAAAAAAAAAAGGAGUUUGAUAUGGUCAACUAUGUAGAGGCAGCAUUGCAGUAGACAGCAGCUGAGUUACAUGACCAGCAGAAAAAUAAAGUUAAAAAUAGGCAAAAGAGCUGUACUGGAUAAAUCCAUGAAGGAAGAUGGCAAAGGUGAUAGAGAAGAAUUAAUGGAUGAUUGAUCUCCCAGGGCUACAUGCAGCAUCAAGGAUAUGAUGGGGCUUGAAAAUAUACUAAAAAAAAAAAAAAGGAUAAAAUAAUAUAGAAGAUAACCAAAACAGAAUGGUAAGGAGGAAGACCAUAAAUGAAUUGUGCAAGAAAGCCUAGAUAAUAUGAGCAGGGAACACCAGACUCUGUAGUACAGUGAGGAAGGAGACUCCAUGAGGUUCAGUGUAGAUUGACAUCUAGACUGAACUCAAACCUUGAUGUGUCACAGAAGCUUCUUCCAGCUCCUGCUGAAGUCAAGAGAAGAACUCCCAUUUAUUUGAAGAGAAGCAGGAUUAGGUCCUAAUCCUUCUGCCUCACUAUCCAGUAAAGUGAGGAUAAUAAUUGUAUUGACAGGUAAUUCUGUCUCACAGGAGUAUUCUGAGGAUUACGUAGCGUCUGCACUGUGCUGUGAAAUGCUAAGUGCUAAAUAUGAUUAUACAGGGAUUUCCAUCCAAAGAUCUCAAAGCACUUUCCAAACAUUAAUAAUUGAAGCUUUAUAAUACCCUUAGGACUGCACAUGUAAAGAAGGCAAACAAGAUUCAGGGCUCAGCAAAGCGGACAAGGAUUAUUAGACUUAUUUUAUAGUGGAUAAACUACACCACAGUGAGAUUAAGUGACUUGCCCAAAGUAACAGAACAAAUCAGUGACACUUCAGAAAACAAGCCUAGAAGGUCAGACUCCUUCACACUUUGCACAGAAAAGAUGCACAAGGGGUGAGAGGGGCAAUCAGCUUUUGGAAGGAGUUGGAUGGAUCAGACCAUUGAAGAGAUGUGCAACACCUGGAGAAGACUGAGGAGAGCACAAGAAAAGCAAACAAGGUUUGUUUAUUUUUAGGUAAAUGAGCAAGAACCAGUAGAAGAAAAUACAAUGCCUUAAAGCAGCAAAAAGUAGAGCUUACUGGCAGGAGGCAUAGCCUCCGCUAAGAACAUCAAUUCUUUGGCUUACAGAUUUAACAAAGACGACAGAGAACAUGUGUCAGAACUCAGAUUAAUUUCCCAGGGGAAGAACAAAUACAGAAGGAAAUUGAAAUCAUGUUAGAACAAGAAAUCAAGAAAUCAGAAUGACUGAAGACUGGUUGGAUGAAUGGUACGUAUUUCUCUGAAGUUCUAGAACAAAAGGCAAAGUAUUGACAAAAUUCUUCAAAAUAACUUUGGUAUCAGAGUAUUACACAACCUCAUCUAACACUGAAAUGGACUUGAAUCUCAGGGUGGCAAGCAGAGCUAGAAGAAAUCACAGCAGGCUUGGCAGAUAAGAACAACCAUAAAUGUAAACAAAGACGGCUUCUGAGAACAUUCAAGGACUCAUUUUUGGUACACGAUGACAAAAGAAAGAUCUUGCCUGGAAAUCAUAACUGAAUAU